AUCCCUUGUUGAGGACACUUCUUCAAUGACUACUUCUACUGUUCCCAUGCUUUGUACAAGGUUUUGGACUCCAUAUGUCGAAAAGAAGAUAUGUCAUUUAUGAGCUU